UACGUAGGGGGUAAGCGUUGUCCGGAUUUAUUGGGCGUAAAGAGCGUGUAGGCGGCCUGAAAGGUCAGCUGUGAAAACUCGAGGCUCAACCUCGAGACGUCGGUUGAAACCAUCUGGCUAGAGUCCGGAAGAGGAGAGUGGAAUUCCCGGUGUAGCGGUGAAAUGCGCAGAUAUCGGGAAGAACACCCGUGGCGUAGGCGGCUCUCUGGGACGGUACUGACGCUGAGACGCGAAAGCGUGGGGAGCGAACAGG
rnacentral:rRNA from 1 species